GAGCUUGCUCUUGUGGAUCAGUGGCGAACGGGUGAGUAACACGUGAGCAACCUGCCCCUGACUCUGGGAUAAGCGCUGGAAACGGCGUCUAAUACUGGAUAUGUGACGUGACCGCAUGGUCUGCGUUUGGAAAGAUUUUUCGGUUGGGGAUGGGCUCGCGGCCUAUCAGCUUGUUGGUGAGGUAAUGGCUCACCAAGGCGUCGACGGGUAGCCGGCCUGAGAGGGUGACCGGCCACACUGGGACUGAGACACGGCCCAGACUCCUACGGGAGGCAGCAGUGGGGAAUAUUGCACAAUGGGCGAAAGCCUGAUGCAGCAACGCCGCGUGAGGGAUGACGGCCUUCGGGUUGUAAACCUCUUUUAGCAGGGAAGAAGCGAAAGUGACGGUACCUGCAGAAAAAGCGCCGGCUAACUACGUGCCAGCAGCCGCGGUAAUACGUAGGGCGCAAGCGUUAUCCGGAAUUAUUGGGCGUAAAGAGCUCGUAGGCGGUUUGUCGCGUCUGCUGUGAAAUCCCGAGGCUCAACCUCGGGCCUGCAGUGGGUACGGGCAGACUAGAGUGCGGUAGGGGAGAUUGGAAUUCCUGGUGUAGCGGUGGAAUGCGCAGAUAUCAGGAGGAACACCGAUGGCGAAGGCAGAUCUCUGGGCCGUAACUGACGCUGAGGAGCGAAAGGGUGGGGAGCAAACAGGCUUAGAUACCCUGGUAGUCCACCCCGUAAACGUUGGGAACUAGUUGUGGGGUCCAUUCCACGGAUUCCGUGACGCAGCUAACGCAUUAAGUUCCCCGCCUGGGGAGUACGGCCGCAAGGCUAAAACUCAAAGGAAUUGACGGGGACCCGCACAAGCGGCGGAGCAUGCGGAUUAAUUCGAUGCAACGCGAAGAACCUUACCAAGGCUUGACAUAUACGAGAACGGGCCAGAAAUGGUCAACUCUUUGGACACUCGUAAACAGGUGGUGCAUGGUUGUCGUCAGCUCGUGUCGUGAGAUGUUGGGUUAAGUCCCGCAACGAGCGCAACCCUCGUUCUAUGUUGCCAGCACGUAAUGGUGGGAACUCAUGGGAUACUGCCGGGGUCAACUCGGAGGAAGGUGGGGAUGACGUCAAAUCAUCAUGCCCCUUAUGUCUUGGGCUUCACGCAUGCUACAAUGGCCGGUACAAAGGGCUGCAAUACCGUGAGGUGGAGCGAAUCCCAAAAAGCCGGUCCCAGUUCGGAUUGAGGUCUGCAACUCGACCUCAUGAAGUCGGAGUCGCUAGUAAUCGCAGAUCAGCAACGCUGCGGUGAAUACGUUCCCGGGUCUUGUACACACCGCCCGUCAAGUCAUGAAAGUCGGUAACACCUGAAGCCGGUGGCCUAACC
rnacentral:rRNA from 1 species